rnacentral:rRNA from 1 species
GAUGAACGCUGGCGGCGUGCCUAAUACAUGCAAGUCGAGCGAACAGAUGAGGAGCUUGCUCCUCUGACGUUAGCGGCGGACGGGUGAGUAACACGUGGAUAACCUACCUAUAAGACUGGGAUAACUUCGGGAAACCGGAGCUAAUACCGGAUAAUAUAUUGAACCGCAUGGUUCAAUAGUGAAAGACGGUUUUGCUGUCACUUAUAGAUGGAUCCGCGCCGCAUUAGCUAGUUGGUAAGGUAACGGCUUACCAAGGCAACGAUGCGUAGCCGACCUGAGAGGGUGAUCGGCCACACUGGAACUGAGACACGGUCCAGACUCCUACGGGAGGCAGCAGUAGGGAAUCUUCCGCAAUGGGCGAAAGCCUGACGGAGCAACGCCGCGUGAGUGAUGAAGGUCUUCGGAUCGUAAAACUCUGUUAUUAGGGAAGAACAAAUGUGUAAGUAAAUAUGCACGUCUUGACGGUACCUAAUCAGAAAGCCACGGCUAACUACGUG